CCCUGGGUAGUGUAAAUGGUUAAUGCGCUUGGCUGCUAACCAAAAGCUGGAGGUUCAAGUCCACCCAGAGGCA
rnacentral:tRNA from 1 species